GACGAAUGCUGGCGGCGUGCCUAACACAUGCAAGUCGAGCGGAAGUUGGAGAGCUUGCUCUUCAACUUUAGCGGCGGACGGGUGAGUAACACGUGGGCAACCUGCCCUGCAGAUCGGGAUAACUCCGGGAAACCGGUGCUAAUACCGAAUAGUUUUCGCCACCUCCUGGUGGCGUACGGAAAGACGGUUUCGGCUGUCACUGCAGGAUGGGCCCGCGGCGCAUUAGCUAGUUGGUGGGGUAACGGCCCACCAAGGCGACGAUGCGUAGCCGACCUGAGAGGGUGAUCGGCCACACUGGGACUGAGACACGGCCCAGACUCCUACGGGAGGCAGCAGUAGGGAAUCUUCCGCAAUGGACGAAAGUCUGACGGAGCAACGCCGCGUGAGUGACGAAGGUUUUCGGAUCGUAAAACUCUGUUGUGAGGGAAGAACAAGUACCAACUAACUACUGGUACCUUGACGGUACCUCACCAGAAAGCCACGGCUAACUACGUGCCAGCCGCCGCUGUAAAAC
rnacentral:rRNA from 1 species